UUUUCCAUUACAAAACACAUCCUCCCACUUCCUUUGCCAACAUUAGGAGCUCCAGUUAACCAUCUGCUCUGAUCUCCCAGCUAGCGCAAGAAUAGGAGCACAGAGGAGACAUGAGAGGGUCCAUCACAGAGCAUCUUUUUGGAAAUUGUCUGAUGUGACUUCUAACUACGACCCUGUGCGGUAGGCAGGGCAGGCGUAUUUAUGGGCAUUUAGCUGCCAGAGAAACAUACCUGCUCAGAGGUGCCUGUUUUAGAACCACAUGGACAGAAGAUCGCAGAGCUGAUAUCAGAGCCCUGGGCUCUUGACUCCAAGCUUCUCCGCUGGUAAUAAGGAGCGCCCAGGAAAAAGAUCAAAGACCGUGAUAUCCUCCCCAGAAGAUGCUGCCUCUUACCACUGGUGUGGAGGGUGUGGGGUUCCCACCACGUGUGAACUGGGGAUCAAGUGGCUGAAGCUGGUGAUGUGUGGUGAUUCCUGUGCUGGGGAGGGGGGCGCUAUCUCCCCCCCAAGAAAACUUCCUGUCCUGGAGACAGUUAAGAAAAUUGGGAGCCUUAAAGGAAAUAAAGCUGGCUGUCGUUAGAACGAAAUGACACUUAACCGAUGUCUGGGCGCCUGCUCUGUGUCAGGCAGGGCGCUCUGUGCUGCAAAGAAAGGCGUGAGCGGACAGACUAGGAUCUGGCCUCGCUUUGGGGCAAACCAUGG